GCCACAUCAUGUUGAAACAUUGGUUCCCAUAUGAUCACCAAAGUUAAGCAACAUUGAGCCUGAUCAGUACCUAGAUGGGUGACCAUUUGGGAAUAGCAGAUG